CCAAGUACCAGUUAAUGACUAGUUUGUGUUUUAAUUGUCUGUUAAAAUUCCGAUUACCAUGCGAGCUUUAUUAGAUUGACAAAAACUGGUUGAAAUCCACCUUAUUAGGCAAGUAUGUUUCCUGAACCUGAGGUGUGUCAUUUGAUGGAGUAACCUGUAUAUUGGCAUCUUCGUAUUAAAUAGCUGCUUACUGUGAGGUGACUGAACAUUGGGGGCAUCACUUUAUGAGCAGUCACAAGUCUACCUAUCAGUUCAUAGUGCAGACACAUUCCAGAUACUACUUUGCAGAUGAUGGCCUUCAUUCAUGUUUCAUCGCGAGCACUAUGACGAAGAAGUAAGAAGAAAGCAAGGCAUGCCAUAUAUAGGCAUGCAUGCACAUUCUUCUGAUGCUGAAUUUUCUUGGUAUUUAGAUGUAGUGCUCAUUUUGCUAAGAAUUUGAUGUAUAUUUGCAUGCAAACAAAAUUCAAAUGCUGGGAGUUAUGUACAUAUUCUUAUAAUACUAUCCUAAUUGGAAAAUACGUUGGCAUUGAA